rnacentral:rRNA from 1 species
CCUACGGGUGGCAGCAGUGGGGAAUAUUGCACAAUGGGGGAAACCCUGAUGCAGCGACGCCGCGUGGAGGAUGAAGGGUUUCGGAUUGUAAACCCCUUUUGUUAGAGAAGAUAAUGACGGUAUCUAACGAAUAAGCACCGGCUAACUCCGGGCCAGCAGCCGCGGUAAUACGUAGGGUGCAAGCGUUACUCGGAAUCACUGGGCGUAAAGAGCGCGUAGGCGGGAUAGCAAGUCAGAUGUGAAAUCCUAUGGCUUAACCAUAGAACUGCAUUUGAAACUGUGAUUCUAGAGUAUGGGAGAGGUAGGUGGAAUUCCUGGUGUAGGGGUAAAAUGCGUAGAGAUCAAGAGGAAUACUCAUUGCGAAGGCGACCUACUAGAACAUAACUGACGCUGAUGCGCGAAAGCGUGGGGAGCAAACAGGAUUAGAUACCCGAGUAGUC